ACUCUAAGGAUACUGCCUCCGUAAGGAGGAGGAAGGUGGGGACGACGUCAAGUCAUCAUGGCCCUUACGCCUAGGGCUACACACGUGCUACAAUGGGGUGCACAAAGAGAAGCAAUACUGCGAAGUGGAGCCAAUCUUCAAAACGCCUCUCAGUUCGGAUUGUAGGCUGCAACUCGCCUGCAUGAAGCUGGAAUCGCUAGUAAUCGCAAAUCAGCCAUGUUGCGGUGAAUACGUUCCCGGGUCUUGUACUCACCGCCCGUCACACCAUGGGAGUUGUGUUUGCCUUAAGUCAGGAUGCUAAACUAGCUACUGCCCACGGCACACACAGCGACUGGGGUGAAGUCGUAACAAGGUAACCGUAGGUGAACCUGCGGUUGGAUCACCUCCUUUCUA
rnacentral:rRNA from 1 species